rnacentral:misc_RNA from 1 species
CAGCCAAUUAAGCGUAGCUUAGUGUUGGGGCACGCGGUUAAACCUGCGGCCUCUAAAACCAGUGGCGGUGCCGGUCGGCUCUGAGCGUAGUAAUUACUCCUCGCUAUAGAGUCCGGUCGGUCCCCUGCCAGAACCCCCUAUAUUCUACA